rnacentral:lncRNA from 12 species
GUUGAACAUCAUUUCAAAGGUGUCUAUUCUACUUUAUUGUAAGCCAAAUGAUCCCCUUCUUUACAGGUGACAGAUGAGCAGCACAGCUGAGGAAGCACAAUUAAGGAAAGCGUACUGUUUGUUGGAAAGAAUUGUCAAGGGACUGAGUGGAAAAAUCAAGAACCCUCGAGAGGGACGUCAAAGCAGCUCAGUUCCCAUGUGUCACAUGCUGGAAAAAGCCUUCCUUCUCUUUGUCCUCUGUCUUCCCCCUCCUGUGGAAGCCCACUGUUCAAUUAAAAGAAAGAGGCACAAGGACAGAGAAAUGGUGUGAAGACAGGAUCACAAAAGAAAUUUCCAUAUUACACAGGAUUAGCUGAGUCCUCCAAAGAUUCAGAGUCCACAGAACCUCCAUCUCUGUGAUUCCAUCCAGGACUUCCAUCAUCUGAGGAUUUUCUCACAGAAGAAGUCUCUACUUGCUAUGGGGACAAUACAGCUUUCUCCGUUUCUUUAUAUCUCAAAAGUCCCGGCUGGCAAUGAGAAAAGAAGGUGGGACAUCUACUGGUCUGAGGCUUUCAUCAUAUCCACACCCUUCCCCAGCUUCUGCAAAUGUUAGAGAACCACUCUGGGGUGCUGCUGGCUGGAAUGGAGGGAGAAUCCACAGCAGUACAAGGAACAAGGCUGGGAAGACGCAGGCUCCCGGAGGCCAGGGGAAGCUGGCUUUCCAGGAGGAGGACGUGGGCAGUAGGACUCUGCCACUGAGUUUCAGAGUGUGA